rnacentral:tRNA from 1 species
GUGGGUGUAGCUCAGAGGUAGAGUGCUUGCACAGAUGCAUGAGACCCUGAGCUCAAUCCUCAGCACUUAAA